AUGGCUCAGGACGAACGCUGGCGGCGUGCCUAAUACAUGCAAGUCGAGCGGACAGAUGGGAGCUUGCUCCCUGAUGUUAGCGGCGGACGGGUGAGUAACACGUGGGUAACCUGCCUGUAAGACUGGGAUAACUCCGGGAAACCGGGGCUAAUACCGGAUGGUUGUUUGAACCGCAUGGUUCAAACAUAAAAGGUGGCUUCGGCUACCACUUACAGAUGGACCCGCGGCGCAUUAGCUAGUUGGUGAGGUAACGGCUCACCAAGGCAACGAUGCGUAGCCGACCUGAGAGGGUGAUCGGCCACACUGGGACUGAGACACGGCCCAGACUCCUACGGGAGGCAGCAGUAGGGAAUCUUCCGCAAUGGACGAAAGUCUGACGGAGCAACGCCGCGUGAGUGAUGAAGGUUUUCGGAUCGUAAAGCUCUGUUGUUAGGGAAGAACAAGUACCGUUCGAAUAGGGCGGUACCUGACGGUACCU
rnacentral:rRNA from 2 species